UUCGGGAACGUCUGACACAGGUGCUGCAUGGCUGUCGUCAGCUCGUGUCGUGAGAUGUUGGGUUAAGUCCGUAACGAGCGCAACCCUUGUCCUUAGUUACCAGCACGUUAUGUGGGCACUCUAAGGAGACUGCCGGUGACAAACCGGAGGAAGGUGGGGAUGACGUCAAGUCAUCACUGGCCCUUACGGCCUGGGCUACACACGUGCUACAAUGGUCGGUACAAAGGGUUGCCAAGCCGCGAGGUGGAGCUAAUCCCAUAAAACCGAUCGUAGUCCGGAUCGCAGUCUGCAACUCGACUGCGUGAAGUCGGAAUCGCUAGUAAUCGUGAAUCAGAAUGUCACGGUGAAUACGUUCCCGGGCCUU
rnacentral:rRNA from 1 species